AGUUUCAGUUAGGGAAGAUGAAAAAGUUCUGGAGAUGGAUGGUGGUGAUGGAUGUACAACAAUGUGAAUGUCUUUAAUGCUGCUGAACUCUACACCUAAAAAUGGUUAAAAUGAGUCCCCACAGCCACCCUCCAUUGCAGAGAAUUGCCCCACACAUCUGCUGCGCACCCACGCCCUGGAGAUAGAGUUAUAAUUCCCAUCUCACAGAUGAAGGAACUAAGGCAAAGAGAGGCAAACUAAACGUGUGUGCACCAGUUGGGCAAAACUUCCAACCCAAAUGGGGACAGCAAGGUCCCCAUCUACUCCCCACAUCAAACGGCAAUGCUUGCAAGAGUCCCCAAGAAGUGGGUGCUUAGAGGGAAAGAUGCCAUUCCUUUCUGGAUCUUUGGGAAACCAGCUGAAAUGCGCCUGGCUCUGGAACAUUCAUCCAAAGUCUCUGGGACCAGGCUUCACUCCCCCAACCCAAGGAAAGGCAGGAAACUCCCUCAUGGAAACCACUCUUCCUCCUACCUUAACCGACUCGGGACUCGUGACGAUGACUGAGGUUUUGUGGAAGACGUUAACCCGCACAACAGGUCCAUACUUCUUAGCCCUGGAAACCAAAGUGACCCGAAGGAAACUGUCAACCACCUGAGGUAUGACCAUCACCAACCCCGCCCAGCAGAGAAACCGAUGUGUCCCGUCCCAGAAGGUGCUCAAUGCAUGCUACCAAAAGAGUGCUGUGCUGGGGCCCAGGAGCCCUGGGGGCAAGGCUCUGCCCUGUUGCUCACUUGCCGAGUCAUGUCCCCCAGCAGGCCUCAGUUUCCACAGCCAUGGAAUAGGGUUGGAAACACUCCUUCUUUGAUUGUCCCAAAACGUUGUCCUGGGAAUCAAAUGAUUUGCAUCUUUGAAAGUACUUUGAAAAAUGUAAAAAAGUGUCACACCAAACAAUGACUGUUACCUAGUCACACCCCCCCACCCAGUUUACAGAUGAGGAAACUGAGGCUCAGAGAGCUUCUGACGGCUGGUCUAAGGUCCUGCAGUGGGUGAAUGGCAGAGCAUGGCUUCCAAGCCAGCCUCACCCGCCUCCACUCAGGGGAGGAACUGCUGGGGCUGGUAGUAACCUGGGCUACGGGAAGGUGAGGCUGGGAGUCUGUGUGCUGGAUUGGGUUGGGGGAGCUGCCCCAAGGGAACCUGGAGUAGGGGCAACGAGUGACAAAUGAGAACCCACCAAUCCAAAAACACAUCUUGGAGCACACGGCCACCAACCUCAUCCUUUUUCCAAAAGCAGGGGAGGUGUCCUAGAAGGAAACUAGAAGAAACAGGAAACAUUAGGCUUACCAGCAGUCAACAGGAAAGAACGCUCCCUUCCCCACAAGAUCUUAUUAUUAGGCCCACUUCACAGACAGGAGGACCGAGGCAUGGGGAGGUUACAGCACUGGCUCAGGGACACCAGGCAGUAAGAAUGAAGACAGGAUGCAAACCCGGGUCUGACCAGCUCCAAAGACCCCCUUGGAGAAGAAACAGUUUUUUUUUUCCUGUCUCCCUGGCACAGAAGUUGGGGGCUGGCAGAUAGAAAGGACUCAAUAAUAUUGUGUGGGAUCACCCUCAGAUAUUCCCCAAUACUGACCACGCUGGGCACCACGCUAGGCUUCACCCCUCCAACCUCCCCACAUGGCUGAUCAGUCUGUUAUUAACCAUAUUAUAUAGGACAGCCGAGAUGAAAGGGUGAAGUCAUUUGCCCACAAUUGCACAACUGGUACCAGGGCUCCCCAAAGCCCAUCUCAGCAAGGGAUGGUUUGGUCAUAUAAAUCUGCUGUGUUCACCAAAUUGU